rnacentral:rRNA from 1 species
AUGCAGUCGAGCGGAUGAGAGAGCUUGCUCUCUGAUUCACGGCGGACGGGUGAGUAAUGCCUAGGAAUCUGCCUAUUAGUGGGGGACAACGUUUCGAAAGGAACGCUAAUACCGCAUACGUCCUACGGGAGAAAGCGGGGGACCUUCGGGCCUUGCGCUAAUAGAUGAGCCUAGGUCGGAUUAGCUAGUUGGUGAGGUAAUGGCUCACCAAGGCGACGAUCCGUAACUGGUCUGAUAGGAUGAUCAUCACACUGGAACUGAGACACGGUCCAGACUCCUACGGGAGGCAGCAGUGGGGAAUAUUGGACAAUGGGCGAAAGCCUGAUCCAGCCAUGCCGCGUGUGUGAAGAAGGUCUUCGG